GUCUUCAAGUUCUGAUCAUCUUAAAUAUUUGCUAAAACAUUAUGAAGUUAUAUUAACAAAAUAUCGCAAUAAUAUGAAAGAAAUUGAACCACAAAAAAAUUAAAUACGUUUUCUUUAAAAUUCAUAUUGAACAUCAGUUUUAUCAACUCCGACAUCUUUUAUGUUUCAUGAGUUGGUGGCAAGAUAGGAAUGAUGGAGAAAUCCUUUCAAUAUUGCCCUUCACCAAA
rnacentral:lncRNA from 1 species